rnacentral:lncRNA from 1 species
AGCAAGCACGCGGACCUGACCCCUAAGGAAGAGCAGUCUCUGCAAACCCAAGUCAGAACCAGAAGCAAGCUGGCCGCCCAGAAAGUUGACUCCCUAGUGAAGUACUGCCUUCUCCCCCUGAGAGAGUACUUCAAGUAUUUUUCUCAGAACUCACUUCCUCUUUAGAAAUGAAUCACCGUACGACGAAGAGUCUUCCCUAGAACCGUGGCAGCCUUCUUCCUGUGGCCUUUUCCCUCUGCAGAGUUCCCUCCCGUUUGCUUGCUGGGCUUUGGGAUUCUCUCCUGUUUGAGGCAUCCAUCUGAGAUGCGAAUGCCUCUGGGCAGCUCACUGUGGGGGUCCGGAGGCGCCCAACGCUCUGGACAAGAUCCCGAUGGGGUAACCGGCCAUGCUUCUUCCGAACAAAACUGUGUGUACCUGUUGUGAAGUUUUUCAAAUAUAUCAUAGAAUUGUUA